AUUGAACGCUGGCGGCAGGCCUAACACAUGCAAGUCGAACGAGUGGCGGACGGGUGAGUAAUGUCUGGGAAACUGCCCGAUGGAGGGGGAUAACUACUGGAAACGGUAGCUAAUACCGCAUACCAUCGGAUGUGCCCAGAUGGGAUUAGCUAGUAGGUGGGGUAACGGCUCACCUAGGCGCCGACCCCUAGCUGGUCUGAGAGGAUGACCAGCCAAACGGGAACUGAGACACGGUCCAGACUCCUAGGGGAGGCAGCAGGGGGGAAUAUUGGCCAAUGGGCGAAAGCCUGUUCCAGCCAUGCCGGGUGUGUGAAGAAGGUUUUCGGAUGUUAAAGAACUUUAAGUGGGGAGGCGUUACCAACAGAAUAAGCACCGGCUAAUUUCGUGCCAGCCGCGGCGGUAAUA
rnacentral:rRNA from 1 species